GAUGAACGCUGGCGGCGUGCUUAACACAUGCAAGUCGAACGGAAAGGCCCUGCUUUUGUGGGGUGCUCGAGUGCCGAACGCGUGAGUAUCACGCGAGUAACCCCCCCUUGACUUUGGGAUAACUCCACGAAACUGGGGCGCAUACAGGAUAUGAGCUUCUGCUCCGCGGGGGGGGUUGGAAAUAUUCGGUGGUUGGGGAUGGACUCGCGGGUUAUCAGCUUCUUGGUGGGGUAGUGGCUUACCAAGCCUUUGACGGGUAGCCGGCCUGAGAGGGUGACCGGCCACCUUGGGACUGAGGGACGGCCCAGACUCCAACGGGGGGCAGCAGUGGGGAAUAUUGAACAAUGGGGGGAAGCCUGGUGCAGCAACGCCGCGUGCGGAAUAACCGCCUUCGGGUGGUAACCCGCUUUCUCCUGAGACGUAGCGAGAGUGACGGUAACGGGUAAAGAAGCACCGGCUAACUACGUG
rnacentral:rRNA from 1 species